rnacentral:lncRNA from 1 species
GGAGGCAGAUGUUGCAGUGAGGUGAGAUCGCACCACUGCACUCCAUCCUGGGUGACAGAGUGAGACUGUCUCAAAAAAAAAAAAAAAAAAAAAAAAAAGACUCACAAGGAGUGGAUUUCAGGAAACCAAAAUGAUAUGUCCUUAGCACCUGAAAAAAUAUGCAGAAACUCAGGUUACAUAUGGAAUUCAUUAGGUGUUUUCUUUGUCCAUUCCUGAUCAGUUUUCUUACCACCCUCCCCAUGAAAAGUAGGUGAUCUGGGUGAAUUCAUUCACAAUCUGGUUCAAUUUCUCAAGAACAUGUAUUGAUCACUGCCAUAGUUCAAAGGAGGGUCUCGAGUAGGGAGGUGAGAGUGGGGGUCUUUGAAAGCAGUAGGGAAUGAAGGGAGGAGCCCACUGGGAGCUGGGAUUCUUGAACUCCCAGGUAAUGCAGAGAAUGUGGUGAUUUAUGAACUGUAUUGUACUAAGCUAUAGUAAAAUUGUUUGGUACAACUUAGAGCACACUAUAUUUCUUCAAACACAGUGAUUUCAUUUCGACCUGAACAGUUACUCUGCAGUCCAUAAAAUAUUAACAUUGCCUUUCUACAUAUACAUUAUUUACUGUACAGUGUAUAAAAUAUUUAUGUGAUUUUCUCUAAAGAUACUGUAUAUAGUGCAUUAUUUUUAUCCACUUUUUCCCCCUCCUGGAAGCAGGCAUGCCGUGAACUGGAAAAUGUUUUUGAAAUCAAGGAAAAGCAGCAAAAAGGAAGGCGUUACCAUGGAACUGAGAGAGGAGAUACAAAUCUUUGUUCCUGAUGGUCUUGUUCCCACCUGCCUGGGUGCUGCAGCUCUGUGCUGCCUGAGAAAGCCAGUGACCAAGAGGAGCAGAAGACUAGCAGUCGACCUUCCAACCACGAUGGCCGUUGAAGAGAUGCCAUCAAGCCAGGGUCUCUGCUUCUCCCUGCUGCAGCCUGUAUCCGAGACUGGCUUCCUGACCUGCACCUCGGUGAAAGGAAGGAAAGAGAAGGGGAAAUAGAAACAGAAGAGCAUGUACAUUUUGACCUACUGUUCAACUAGACUUCCAAUGAUGAAUGGAGGGUGAUUUCUACCAGGUGAAAAUCUUAUUUAUCUAUCCUAGACUGUGGGUAAAAAAUCCUGGAUGAGAGCC